rnacentral:rRNA from 1 species
UGCGUAGGUGUUCUGUUAAGUCAAACCUGAAAGCCCCCAGCUUAACUGGGGAGGGUGGUUUGAAACUGGCAGAAUUGAGUAUGGCAGAGGUAAGUGGAAUUCAAUGUGUAGCGGUGGAAUGCGUAGAUAUAUUGAGGAACACCAGUGGCGAAGGCGGCUUACUGGACCAGAACUGACACUGAGGCACGAAAGCGUGGGGAGCAAACAGGAUUAGAUACCCUGGUAGUCC